CCCCUCUCAGGAUCACACUUGGAGAGUUUCCAGUACUCUACCAGUCUCGACUACGGGAGGGAGAGACAAGCAGAGGCCUAUCCAUUCCAUUCCUAGCUUGGGCAGUGGCUAGAGAGCGGAAGGCCACCUGUUACAAGU